AGCCAUCCUCGCGUCAACUAAAAUUAUAAUAAAAGGCAUUUGAUUUGUCAUGGUCAAAAAUCUGACAUUCGGAUUUUAUCAUUUCCGUUGAUUAAUGAUGCGCGCGGUUUACUGAAAAAACGCUCCUCCAAUUGCAAUCGCCACGUCGGCAGUGGCGCUUAGGCUUAACGAUCUUGGGCAGGAUUGGGAGACGUCAACCUAGUUCUUCAAUUAACUGGUCCUGACCACGAGCAUGUCAAGAGACCUUCAGAACGAACAUGAAUGAAACGACACGAACAUGAAUGAAACGACACGAACAGGCGAUUCACCUACGAAUUUAACUGAUUAUACAGAGAUACAGAAGUAAUAGAAUCUCUUUUCUUUUCCUCGCUAAAGAUUUAUACAAAGAUGAAGCGACACGAACAUGAACUCUCCUAUCCGCCGUCCGUCGACCGACCGGUCGAUCAGUGCACGAGGUAGGUGACGGCAAGCGCGGCGGCCAUGAGCAGGUACGCCACGGCCUGGUCGACCCUCCUGCCGUCGCCGGCCACGGCCGCCAACCCCUCCGCCUUCCUCGCCCCGCCCUGCGCCGCGCCGGCAGCGGGCACGUCGACGUUCGCCGCGCGAGCCAUCGCGUGAUGACCGAUGAACGACCCGCUCACAAGAAUCGGCUCGACCGACGGUAUGCCGGGUCCUUCCCUGGUGAGCCGACGAAGAAGAAAGAAGAUCUGGAUCCGGGCUGUGGGUGUUGGUCGUGGCCAGUUUGUGCUUGGUGGAGAGGCGGUGGAUCUGGCGUGUUUAUAUAGCGGGAUAGGAUUUGGGAGGGUAUUACGGGCCGGAUUCCCGGUCAAACGUGCCUGCCUGCCGGCCUUUUGCUUGGGCGCGUAAAAGUCGUUUGCUCGGAAGCUUCUGCGGUGUUUCCACGUGGCUGAGACGAGGAUGCCGCGUCCAAAUCGAAUCAGCUCGGCUUUGGCUUUUGGCCAAGCGUCACCGAUGAGAACUUCUAGUAGACUAGACUAGUCAUCGUCGAGAUAAGUUUUUUUGAACCAAUCAUCAAGAUAAUUAAAACUGUUAAAAUAUGUACGAAAGAAAAAAUAGAAGGUAGUCGUACUAGAAGAGGUGGACUGGUCUGGUCGCCUUGUGGUGCAAAUGAUGCACUAGCCGUAGUUCACGUAUUUAGACUUCGCGAAAAAACUAAAGUAAGAGUAGGGAAAAGGUGUGGCUAAACGUAGUACGCCACCUUAUCUAUUGACCUCGUUUUUGUUUCUCCCAAACGAGAAAAAUGCAUGGAAUUCAAACUUCUCGGGUCAACGAUAGGGUCACGAUGUAUAUAAAUCCGACUGGGGUUGUUCAUUUUUCCAAUACGGAAUACAUAUAAAGCAAAAUGAAUGAACCUCCACUCUAAAAUAUGUCUAUAUACAUCCAAAAAAAUUUAUAUUUAAAAACGGAAGGAGUAGUAUUUAUUUCUUCUCUAUAUUUCUUUAUUUGAUUCCUUUUUUUCAUCAUUAUUCGAGUACAAAGAAAUGUAAACAAUUUUCAUCAUUAUAGAUGGAAGGUUACGUUAAACUUCACGUAAGUCUAGAAUUAUCGGGUGAACGCCCAGAUGUGUGUCUCCACAAGGCCAUUUGUCAGAGUUCCAAACCUUAUUAUUUUUCCUCCAAUUUUAAACUAGUUUCUUAUGGGUUCUGUUUGGUUCUUCCGGCUUUUGCAUGGAUUUACUUUUCUUUUUCUCUCACCCUUUCUCUUUCCUUUUUUUCAUUUAAAUUUUCAUUCUAUAUUUGUACACAUGAAUAUUUUUUGAAAUACUCUAGCAUUUUUAACACACUAUGAACAUUUAUCAAAUACAUGGCAAAUGAAUAUUUCCCAAUACAUUUUUUUAUUUUUCUAAAUUGUUUUUAUCAUUGUAGGAAAAUAUCAUCAAAUCAAACUUCUAAAUAAUAACAAUAAAAAACCUCUAAGCUUAUUGGGUGCGCUUUUUUUUGAAUAAAAAGGUAGAUCAUUUUUUACCUUAUGCAUUCAAAACGGGCGGAAAACCCGGAUGACCAAAGUCAUUUACAUGAAGGUGAUGUUAACGCCGUACAAAGGAGUACAGCAGGCCAUCACCAGACCUAGUGUGAUACAGAGUUGGAGAUAGAUAAAAGUAAGACAACAUGCAAAUUAAGUUGGAGUGAAAGCGGCUGCCCAAUCCAACAUGCACUGCCUAAUAUGCUGCGGGGCACGCAGGCUCCAAAACUUGAACAGCUCAAUGACUCUAGUGUAUACUUGGCGCUCCUGCCAAAAGGAUCCUUCGAAGACUCGAGCGUUCCUGGCGUUCCAAAGGGUGACCGCACACGCCGCGAAAAGAAUAUGCCACAUUUUGCCAUGCAGCGCCUUCGGCUGAUCUGAACAUAAAUAAAGUUCAGGUUCUGUGGAAGAUGUGGCCAACUCCUGCAAGCCUAAAUUGGACCAUAACGCUUGUGCAAGUUUGCAUCUCAGCAAAAUAUGGCUCAUUGUCUCCGCCGCUAGACAAAGAUCACAGCCAUUGUGCGAAGCAAUUUUAUCCCAAUUCUUCCUCACCAUGUUAUCUCUGGUGUUGUGUCUGUCCCGGAGUGCAAUCCACAGAAAGAUGCGAUAUUUGUGUGGUAUGAUUCUAUCCCAAAUGAGCUUGGCUGGCAUAUAGAGUUUGCCUCGAAAAGUGAAAAGCUUGUAGAAAUAAGGAGUGCUCAAGCUCUUGCCAACGAGCAGCGGCAUUCUGGUGUCAACUGUAUUAACCUGGGGCAGCACAUAGCUCAAGAUUUCAGCAAGGGCUGCCAGUUCUUGUGUGGCCGUGUAGGAGAGAUUUGGAUGAAGCUGGAUGUUCCAUUGACCGUCUCUGAACUGUGAAGCAACUGUGCAAAACUGGGCCACAUCGAAAGUAAAAAGCGUCGGGAAAACAAUCAUGAGCUGACCACAGUCCAGCCAGAGAUCAUACCAGAAGGCAAUGCUUUGGCCGCCCCCAGUUUGCAUUUGGAAGCUUCCAUAACCAUCUGCAUUGUGGAUCUAAAACCUUUCCAAACAGCAGUAUCUCGAUUGUGAGGGGUCCAGGAUAGUUCCUUCUGACAAUAUGCCUGCGCGAACCAACUGUAACACGACACAUCCUCGUGUUGCAGAACUUUUGCCAUAAACUUGCAUAUCAAGGCCUUGUUGUGUGCUGCAAGGUUGCGCACCCCCAGUCCUCCAUUCUCUUUUGGGAGUGUGACCACAUCCCAAGCGACAAGGCACUGUCCCCCCUUGGCCUUAUCCUUCCCUUGCCAAAGAAACCCCCUCAAAAUUUGAUCAACUUUCUCCAAGGACUGACUCGGCCACAAGAAGCAGCCCAUGUAAUAACUAGGGAUUGCCGCCAAAACUGCAUUAAUCAAGGUUAGACGCCCCCCCAGGACAGAAAAGUUGCAAGCCAACCAGACAAGCGCUUGUCCACCUUCUGAAUCACAGGCAUUAACAGUCCGUGCGGUAUCUUGUUAAGAGAGAGUGGUAACCCCAGGUAGGUGCAAGGGAAGGCUGCAGUCUGACAAUUCAGAAUCUCAGCAAUACCUUGACAGGUGUGCUGGUCCAAUCCAACUGGAACAAAAGUACUCUUGUGAUAAUUGAUCUUUAGACCAGUAAAAUUGCUGAAGUCUUCCACAAUCCGCUUGAUAAUGCCUGCUUGUUGGACAUCUCCUCUCAAGAGAAUGAGCGUGUCAUCCGCGUAUUGCAGAAUUGGAAAAGGCCCGUCGGCUCCCAACGGAUGCACUAGGUUCUCCUCCUGAUACUCCUUCUGGCAGAGCUGUUGUAGGAUAUCUGCGACCAAAAUGAAAAGGUAUGGAGACAGGGCAUCCCCUUGCCGUAGGCCACACUUUGAUAGGAUCCUUUCGCCGGGAGUGCCGUUGAUAAGAAUUCUGGAGGAACUAGAAGCUAGGAUAUCAUCCACCCAUCGGAUCCAUCUGUCCCCAAAGCCCCUUGUUGCAAGGAUUUGUUUUAGAGCCUCCCAGCUAACACUGUCAAACGCUUUUUGAAAAUCAAGCUUCAGCACAACCAUUGGCGCUUUCCUCUUCCUGGCUUGCUGUACUAACUCGGCUGCCAGUGCAAAAUUUUCAAUAAUGCAAUGUCCUCGGAGAAAGCCAGAUUGGAGGGGGUGGAUGAGAGUCUGGAUCAGUCUCUGUAACCGCACUGCCAGCACUUUGGUGACAAGCUUCGGGACACUAUGAACUAAAGAGAUUGGCCUGAAGUCCUUUAUAUCUGUUGGAUCUUCUUUUUUUUGGAAGAAGCACAAUGUUGGCGGUGUUGAUGCCGAGUAGGUCACUGCUAAGCUCAUAAACUCUUGGAAAAACCCCAGCAAGUCCUCCUUCAACAGCCCAAGAAAACUUUUGUAAAAUUCACUUGUGAACCCAUCUGGCCCUGGGCUCCUGUUGCUUGGCGUGUUCUGAAUUGCUGCUGCAAUUUCGCCCCAAGAGAAAGGUGCCUCCAGUGCAGACAGGUCGACUGGAUCAUAAAGGUGGGAGGGGUCCAGAACUGGCAUUGAGGCCGAGCUUUCUCCAAAAAUGUGUGUGAAAAAAUCAGUUGCAAUUCGCAGCUUGUCUUGAUCCCUGAAGAAAUAUGUGCCAUCUUUAACCAGGAGCUUGAUUUUGUUUCUGCGGUGUUGGCAGUUAGCCAUUGCAUGGAAGAACCUGGUAUUCUCAUCUCUCAAGGUACAACCUCUUAUUUGUGCUCUUCUCUUCCAGAAACUAGUCUGCCAUAGUAUCAACUGUUGCGCCUUCAGGUUGGCGUGAUUUCUGAGGGCAACCUCUAUCCUCGAAAGGCGCCUUCUUUCCUCAACUGUGUCCAUGUACUGGACAACAUGCUUGCAAUUGGCAAGGGUGUUCUGCAUCGGUGGUUUGGUGCGUUCCCAUGCUCGAAUUGCAGCCCUCAAUCUUCUAAGCUUGAAGUUGAUCAAGGUUGAUAGAGAGGCGAAGGUUCUGGUUCCUUUCCUCCAGCUCUGACUGAUAAUAUCCCUGAGCUCUGGUAUGUGCAGCCAGUGAUUUUCAAACCUAAAGAAAGGGCUUUUGGUAGCCUCCCUUGAGAACUCCACACCUAUAAGCACAUGAUCCGAUGUUGUAGCAGGUAGAGCAGCAACUGUUGUGUUGACAAAGCCCAGAUUCCAUUCCGCAUUCACCAAAACUCGAUCUAGCUUGAUUAGAGUGGGUUCCUCUCGCUUAUUGGACCAAGUGAAGCUUCUGUUAGUGAUAUCAAUGUCAUCAAGAGCAUGCUCUCUAAUCUAUGAGUUGAACCUGUCCAUUAGUGCCCAAUUCUUCCUUCCUUGUGACUUUUCAUGCGCAAACCUAUACAUGUUGAAAUCACCCAAGAUGAUCCAGGACCCAGUAACCUGCUCGGCUGUUUGAGUCAUAACUGCAAAGAAAUCGUCCCUCUCCUCUUCAUCACAUGGGGCAUAGACUGUGGAGAGAACAAAACCGUCAUUAUUGCUUCUGGACUGGAAACUGACUGUUAUGCCGAACCGGUGUUUUGCCAUUUCUAAACCGUGCAACACGCUGUCAUCCCAGGCCACAAGCAAUCCGCCUGCAGUGCCACAAGCUGGCAUGUAGAUGAAAGAUUUGUGGUUUACAGGGAGGAAGGAUGCUGCCUUCAUCUUGUCCACCACCUGCAAUUUAGUCUCCUGCAGGCAUAUAACGUUCGAUCGGCUAGAAAAGAGUGCAUCUUUGACUAAUGAGCAUUUGUCGGAGUCACCAAGUCCCCUAACGUUCCAAUUAGCAAUCCGCAUAUAUGAAAGAACAGUCAGCUACAGAAGAAACAACCGGCACAGCUGGCUUGCGGAGGCGGUUCCAAGAGGAAAGUCUACUGACUUGAUAGAUAAACUGCUCAAAAGAGCUUACAAAGCUUAAAAAGCAACAACUAAUGCAGUGGUGGGAUGCAGUACAAUGCAGAUACAGGGCCCAACAGGACCAAACACUAAUAUGACGAGCUACAAAGCAACACUUAUGCAGAGAUAAACAACCCUUGGGGAAGGCUCUAGCAAGGCUCUAGAAAAGAGUGUUCACUCCGGCUCCGGCGGCCACCAAAUUGGGUGCGCUUUAACCGGCUCAUACUCCCUUCGUCCUUGAAAGAGUGCACUUUCAACUUUGUUGGAGGGUCAAACUAUCUCAAAGUUUGACCGGGGUUGUGCAAAAAUAUAUCAAUGUUUGUGAAAUCAAAUAGGUAUAUGAUGAAAAUAUAUUUUAUCAUGAAUCUAAUGCUACUAAUUUGAUGGCAAAAAUAUUGAUGUAUUACUAUAUAAAUACGGUCAAACAUAAUUUGUUUUGACUUUCUAACAAAGUUGAAAGUACACUCUUUCGAGGGAGUAUAGGAGAGUGGGUGUUUGCUCACCUAUUUUUAUUUUUAUUUUGGAGCAAGCUCACCUAUUUUUAUGGCGUCAGAGGAAUCCCACCGAAACAAAUCAAUCCAGGGGCCCAUCGUGUGCAGGAGCGAGCUGGAAGUUCAGGCCGCCGAUUUGGCACAAAGCUUUCAGGCCUGGCCCAAGCCUCUCUUCUUCCCCGCACGCAGGGCGCGAGACGCGAGACGGCGGGGAAAGCGGAAAACCCCCACCCAUUUCCCCUCUCCACCGCGCUCGCAUUUCCCGCUCGGAAAUUCCCCCAAAUAAUUUCAUCUCCCUCCCAUUCCCCUCUCCGCUCCCCACCUCCCAGAGAACCCCGCUCCUCCCGCCCGGACGGAGCCACCUCGAGUCGAAUCCCGGCCACCGCGAUGCAGCCGCGGCGGCAGCAGCAGUCCAUCCGCUCCUUCCUCCACCCGCGCCCGAGCCCGGCGCAGGAGGCGUCCGGCGCCGGCACGACCCCCGAGAGGCCCCCGCGGCCCCCCGCCGCGUCGUCGGUCGACGGCAUCAUGGAGCGGCUCGUGCGUCCGCCGUCGCAGGGGAGGUACGCGACCAAUGCAGCUCCCGCCCGUCCUAGGGUUUUGUCUGGGUUUGGGCGUAGUUUGAUUGGGCCAGCUGCCGCAGUAUCUAGCUAACGGGUCCGCGCGCGCAUUCGCUUAGGUGGUUGCCGCUUGACAGUGAAUGCCGAUUCGGUCGAUUUAUCGUUGGCUUGGUCUCCGCGUGUAUGCUGCUGGAAUUGCUUGAACCCAUAUUCUGGCGUGGCUUCGUUUGCUGCGGGUAGCGCUAUUGUGUGGCCAGUAGCAGCAGGGAUGAGGUCAAUGCGAGUUUGCAGUUACGCUGUCUUUUGACGGGCUUAGCUCCUGACCGCGCUUGGUGUUUGGCCACUGCAUGUGUUGUGCCUGAUAGUUUACGGGCCGCAUUGUCAUGUUCAGUUAGUCAGUUUGUUUUUGCUAUUGCGUUGUCCUCAUCAGUCGCCAUGCUUGCUGUUAAAUCCGUUUCUCUUAACUCCAAUUUGCUUACUGCCCGUGUCUCUUGGCUGUUGGAUGGUGUUUUAUGUGGUCUAUCUGUGUUUCGAUUCACAUGUUUGUAGUUUUUGAGCAUGAAUAGAUGAUCCACCAUAAUUUUACGAACCAAAGUAAACUUCAGGUUGGAAGCUGUUCCAUACAAUCGAAAGGCAGAAUCUGGGCUAAUACAUAUUGUCAGUGAUUGCAGAUUCGUAAUAUGCAUGUGGUUCAUUCCAUCUACAUUGCAACUAGCAUUAAGUUCAUUGGAUUUUGGGUCCAGUGUUUAACUGUGCUAAUUGUCCUUCACUUUAGUGCAAGCUUGGAUUGCUGUAAUGGACUAUGGAUUAUUUGGGUUGGAUGCAUUUGUUUCUGUGUUAUUGGGUGUAUGACAGGUGUAUGUUAUUGCCUUCUCGGUCCCUAAAGUGUCUUGUUUGUUGGUUUGCAUCGGCAGAUUUUCCGCUUACUUUGGAAAACACUUUCUUGUUUUUUUUUGCUGUGCCAUCAUGGUGAUGCUCUCUGUGUUUGUUGCAGAAACAAAGAUGCCACUCAGAUUAGAAAUGCUGAGAGAGCCUUACCUGGUAAAAAUGAAGAUACCUCAAAUGAGCAGCCAAGUGCAUCAUUCCCUGUACGGUACAACGGCAAAUAUAGCAGAGGAACUGUGUUAUUUGCAGAACAUAGCACAGAUACCACUCCGCCACAGGAGCCAUUGAAGUUCUCUGCAAGGUCUUCCACAGAUGAAUUUGUUAGAGCAAGCACGCUGUUCCCUGAAAUUGGUUCAGAUCAAACUCUGCUUCAGGAGUGUCCGAAGAAGUUAUCCUCAGAGUGCCCCAGCAACCAGUACGUUCAAGCUAAUUCAGUGUUUGAAGCAUUUGAUGUACAAACUCCAUCCCAGGAUCCGUUAAAGAGAAUCUUUUCUGGGCCUUUUCAUGGAGCAGAUACACCUUUAUCAGAGUAUCGUUCAUAUCCAAUUCCUUUGCAGCAUCCAUCGAAAAAGUUGUCAUCGGGCUCUUCUAGUGGUGAAUACCUUAGAGCAGUGACACCGCUUGGACUUGAUUCGAAUGAUACUCCUACAGCGAAACACUCAAAGAAGCUAUUCUCUGGGUCUUCAGACCAUUCAUACAUUAAAGCAACUAAUUUGUUUCCGGAAUUUGAUUCAAAUGGAACUCCGCUGCAGAACCACUCCAAUAAGUUCUCAGUAUCUAUGAACAGUAAGAAUAUUGGAGCACCUGCUACACUGUUUCCGGAACUUGAUUCUGUUCUUCUGAAACCAGAAACUCCAGUGACACAAGCAGUGGCUCCUCGUGGGAAGAGAGUUCAACAGGAUCAAUGCAUGACUGCCAAUAACUGUCAGUCUCCUUUGUGGGGUUCAAAUAAGAAGGUGAAAUCAGCUCAUUGUUCUCCAGCUGGGAAAAUGGUUCAUGAUGAAAUGGCUGAAAGUGCACGUAGUAAAUUUGAAUGGCUGAAUCCUUUGAAUAUCAGGGAUGCAAAUAAAAGGCGGCCAGAUGACCCACUUUAUGACAAGAGAACUCUUUUUAUUCCACCUGAUGCACUGAGAAAGAUGUCAACAUCUCAAAAGCAAUACUGGACUAUUAAGUGUAAAUAUAUGGAUGUUCUCCUCUUCUUCAAAGUGGUAAAUUCCAUCAUCAUUGACUCAUACACUGCAUAUAUGCAGUAUACUAUCUGUAAGAUUAUCACGUUAAAGAUUACUGCAAUGCUAACCAGUAUCUCUCAUACCUUGGUGUCAUACUGAGCUAUGGCCUAACCCUAUAAUUAUGAACUAGAUGCAUUUUUCUCAUGGGACUACUGCACAAUUCUUUGUUUACUUCUCAUACUUAAACAGUUCUAACUCAAUUACUCUAUGCAUCAAAAGUUAGACAUUUAUGAAUGAUGUUUGUUCUGGUUAAUAAUCCAAAAUGUUAUUUGCUUUUAUUUUGGGUUCCUUCAUUUGUUCUUAUCCUCUCAGUCUGCUUACACCUCACAGUUUUGAAUGCUGCUUUGAUCCCUCUCCCAGACUCCCCUGACCUCCAAAAUUAUCUAAGUUGACCAGUUCUUUUCUGCUACUUGAGAUUUAUAACCUACAGAAGUGUUUUUCCUGUAUUUGUAGGGGAAGUUUUAUGAGCUCUAUGAAGUAGAUGCUGAGAUCGGCCAAAAGGAACUUGAUUGGAAAAUGACUAUUAGUGGGGUGGGAAAAUGCCGACAGGUAACCUAAGUCAUAAACCGUGACCAUUCUUAUUUUUCCACUGGAAUGCUUGGUUCUGACGUCUGAAUGUCUGCUGUGCUGACCCUGCUAAUUUAUACUCCCUCAUGGUUGCUUGUUGGUUGAGUAAUAAGUAUCAUUUGCUAGAUCAUUUGUCCUAUAAUAUCAUGUGUACGCUAUAUUAUUUCGUAUUAUUUAGACAAUACUCUCGGUAAUGUAGUUCUAUUGGCAUUUUGGAGAUGAUUGGGUAAAUUGCUUCAAGCUUUUGGCAAUACACCACUUCCUCUAGGGUCUAUCCGCAGCAGCUUGUGUUUUUCAUAUUUUGUUGGCCACUAUUGUAGCAUUUCAUGUUUUGUUUCAACUAAUGCUUUGCUCUUGAAGAAAAGGGAGUUUUAUACAGCCUUUUAGUAAACACUCUUGCUGUGGUACAUGAGGCUGACUUGUUCAUCUUAUGUGAAGGUUGGUAUUUCAGAGAGUGGGAUUGACAAUGCUGUUGAAAAGCUUUUAGCUCGGGGGUAAACUUCUUAGUCUCCUUAUGGUUUGCUCAUUUUCAGCAUUUUGAUCUUAAAAUUAUCUUGAACACCAGCAAGUUCAUGCACAGUUCUUCUGGUUGGUAUUGAUAGGCCAUAUGUUUGUUUCUAUCGGUAUUGUUGUUGAUUAUAAUAUGAGAAAUGCACUUAAAAUUGAUUCCUUAUUGGUUUCUGUGCCAGUGUUGUUGUGAAAAAAACUAUAUCUGUUCAGCUGCAAAAUGCAAUUAGUUUCCUUCUGAAUGCUAUAUUUGAUUACUCCUCCAUUUUUGUACGCAAGGCCACUUUGGUUUUUCGUGUCAAACUUUGACUUAUAAUUUUGGUCAACAAAAUACGGGUUAUAUGUCAUAAAAAAUGUAUCGGAAAGUUCUUUCCAAUGUGUAUACAUUGACAUACUUUUUGUGGCAUAUAACUGACUUUUUGUUGGUAAAACUAAUGGUCAAAAUUAGACAUAAAAAAAAUGAAGUGGCCUUGUAUACUGAAAUGUAUAUGAUAUGAUUUGUGAUGUGACACAUCCAUUAUAAUGCUGGAUAUAAAUUACUUCUUGCUCUACUUUUAUUUCUUUUGGUGGUUUGACUGCUCAUCUAUCUAGCAUUUCCCUCCAGAUAUAAAGUUGGAAGGAUAGAACAAAUGGAAUCUGCAGCACAGGCGAAAGCUAGAGGACCAAAUUCAGUAAGUUUUCCACUUCCAUUCUUUUUUGGAUGCCCUUUCAGAAUGUGUGUAGUCAACACUUUGAAACUUUGACCACUAAUAUAUUUAUUCCCUCCGUUCCUAAAUAUAAGCCCUUUAGAGAUUCCAAUAUGGACUACAUACGGAGCAAAAUGAGUGAAUCCACACACUAAAAUAUGUCUAUAUACAUCCGCAUGUAGUCUAUAUUGAAAUCUCUAAAAAGUCUUGUAUUUAGAUUUUAGAAACGGAGGGAGUAUAUACUAAAUAGUAUUUUGAUUAAUCUCGUGCAAAUGUUACUACUAGAUUGUCAUAAAAAAACUUAGAGGUCAGUACAGUUUUAAGAACUUACAUUGACAUGUGACUGCAAAACUAAUGGUGAAGCACACACAUUAGACACUCUCUUGGUCUAAAACAUGUAGUAGAAUUGAUCAAGGUAGUAGGUACAUAACCUGUGGUCUGUGCAGCAGCACUUGAAUGCAUUGCAUAUAUUAAUAUGUACCCUGGCAUCUCCAUUGACGGAUGCAUAAAGCUUGUCCUUUCAAGUUACAAGAGAUUGACUGUAUAUAAGUGUGACAUUUUUUUUCGUACUUCUGCAAGGUUAUUGAAAGAAAGUUAGCUCAUGUAUCCACACCGUCAACUGCAGCUGACAGCAACAUAGGGCCUGAUGCUGUUCAUCUUCUUGCAUUGAAAGAGGUUUGCCUUUUUUAACAAAGCAAUACAUUGCAUUUGGCAAUAUGAUUUGGUAUAAUGUUUUGUAUGUUCAUCUGACGCACAUGAGAGGACACAAUACUACCAGAAAAGCUAACCAUCUGAUAAUAGAAAGAACACUUUCCUCAAAAGACAGGAAAGAACUACAAACUCGUGGUCUUUGGACACAAUGACCAAAUAAAUUUACAUAGAAACAUAGUGAUAAAUCUAAAUCUGGUUGAUCACUGUGUAUAAACAUGUAAAAUAUUGUGGCAAUAAUGUAGAAAUAUAUGUAACUUGCAGAAGACAAUCUUGAUACUUAAUUCAGCUAUUGUUUUAGUAAAAUGAUAUUUUCAGUGUCCCUGUGAAACAUGCAGUGUUAUGUAUCCUAGUUUUUACGAGUCAGUUUUGUCCUGCAAUUUGUUCACAAAUUCUGUAAUUCAUCUUGAAUUAGUUUUAUCAACAUUUUUCAUAGGUGAUGUUGACCUAAUGUAGCCUGUCCUCUUUUUUGUUGUUGGAAUUUUCAGGUUACUCUAGCUUCUAAUGGUUCUCGGGUCUACGGAUUUGCUUUUCUAGAUUAUGCUGCACUUAAAAUCUGGGUUGGUUCACUUCAAGAUGAUGAUUCUUCUGCAGCUUUGGGGGCUUUGCUGGUGCAGGUAGGCUCUUUGCUGUAGCAAUUUAUUUGCUUUGGUUCAACAGAUCAGAAAUGAUCAUUCAUCAGUAUGCUUUUUCAGGUUUCCCCGAGGGAGAUAAUCUAUGAAUCCUCAGGUCAGUACAUCUUUUAUCUUGUAAUCUCGAUGUAUUAAGAACUAAUAUUUGUUUUCUUUUGUCAGGCCUCUCAAGAGAAAGUCGUAAAUCAAUGAUAAAAUAUGCCUCAGCAGGUAAAAUGUUGUAAUCUUUUGCUCUUUUAGUUUCUAUUCUCAUCUGGUUUCUUUGUUAAACAUCUUUCUUCUAACUGCAGGCUCUGUGAAAAUGCAACUGACCCCACUACCUGGGACAGAUUUCUCUGAUGCCUCACAAAUUCAAAUGCUAGUACAUUCUAAAGGAUACUUUAAAGCAUCAACAGAUUCUUGGCUAUCUGCAUUGGAUUAUUCAGUGAAUCAAGAUGCAGUUAUCUGUGCACUUGGUGGACUUAUUGGUCAUUUGACUAGACUUAUGGUAUACUUAUGUUAAUCCAACUCUCUCUCUCUCUCUCUCUCCGAGUGCCUCUGUUGCAACAUUUUCCUUCUCAGCAACACUUGCAAAUUGCUUCAGAACACUGUCAUUAGACAUCACUUUCCAGUUUCCUAGAUACAACUAAUUAGUAUGUAGUUUCUUUAAUAUAUAAAUUUUUCUCAUUUUCUAUAAUGACCAUAUCAACUUCACAAAUUAUAUGUGCAAAGGUGUUCUAGUUUUAAACUAGUAUAAUGUCAAAAAAUUGUUUGCACAAAUCAUAGCAUAAAUGAUGUGCUUGCCUUUCUUUUUUUAUUUGCUUGGGAAACGAUUGUUUUCAUAAGACUGCCUGUUCACGUUCUGAUAAGCUACAAUCUGGAAACAGCUAGACGAUGCUCUAAAAAAUGGGGAAGUCUUACCUUACAAUGUGUACCAAACUUGUUUAAGGAUGGAUGGUCAGACUCUUGUGAACCUGGAGAUUUUCGGCAAUAACUUUGAUGGUGGCUCAUCAGGUAGGAGUUUGCCUUCUACCUAUUUUAUUUUAGCAGCCUGCCGUGACAAUUUCCUAAUAUAUCCAAACAUAAAAACACUGAUAAACUUUGUAUUAUAUUUACUUUGUUUUAGGUACUCUGUACAAGCACCUCAAUCACUGCAUAACCGCAUCUGGUAAGCGGCUUUUAAGAAGAUGGAUAUGCCAUCCACUAAAAGAUGUCGAUGCUAUAAAUAGAAGGCUUGAUAUUGUUGAGGGUUUCAUUCAACAUUGUGGGGUAGGCUCUGUUACACUUGAGCAUCUCCGGAAAAUUCCUGACCUUGAGAGGUUACUUGGGCGAGUCAGAUCUACUGUUGGGCUAACAUCUGCUGUCCUGUUGCCUUUUGUUGGUGAAAAGAUAUUAAAGAGGCGGGUUAGUGGUUGUUCUUUCUUUUUCAUUCCCAGUCCUAAGCUUAUCGUAGCUUAAAGUUCUCUUUUGUAUGGAUUAGAUUCAAUCAAUGAGAUGCCCAUUUUUGCAAAUUAUGAAGUUUGCCUUUCUUGUAUCUACACUACUGCUAAUGACAUGCAAAUUUUCUGCAUUUUCCAGAUUAAAACGUUUUGCAUGCUUAUCAAGGGCCUCCGGGUUGCAAUUGACUUAUUAAGUGCCUUGCGUAGAGAGGACCAUGGCAUUCCAGCGCUGUCAAAAUCAGUUGAUAUUCCAACCCUGAGUUCUCUUGAUGAAUCAGUCCAUCAGUUUGAAGAGGCUAUACGCAUUGACUUUGAACAGUACCAGGUAUGAAUAUGCUGGGAAUUUCUUCGGACGCUAUCUAUCUAAGAAGCGGUUAUUUUUAGUAUUUGCUGUCUGUGUUUUGGACUUCCACAGUACUGAUUGUGUGUUUUGAGUUUUUGACAGGAUCAUGAUAUCAAAGACCAUGAUGCUACCACCUUGGCUAAUUUAGUGGAACAUUUUGUUGGAAAAGCUACCGAAUGGUCUUUGGUAAUCAAUGCCAUCAGCACUGUUGAUGUCCUUAGGUCCUUUGCAGCAAUGGCAUUGUCAUCAUUUGGCACCAUGUGCAGACCACGUAUUCUGUUGAAAGACAAAUCGCCUAUACUUCGGAUGAAGGGUCUAUGGCAUCCAUAUGCUUUUGCAGAAAGUGGAACUGGGCUUGUGCCAAACGAUUUGUCUCUUGGCCAGGAUUUAUUGGGUCAUAAUCGCUUUGCAUUGUUGUUGACUGGUCCAAAUAUGGGAGGAAAAUCUACAAUAAUGCGCGCCACCUGCUUGGCUAUCGUGCUUGCCCAGGUAUGUAUAAGUAAAUCUGGUUAUACCCUUUUUCUUGUUAACUCCUGGGCUCCCUAUUUGGAUGUAUAAAUGGAAUUUCUUGUCUGCAGCUUGGCUGUUAUGUCCCCUGCAUAUCAUGUGAAUUGACCCUUGCAGACUCCAUCUUUACACGGCUAGGCGCAACGGAUCGGAUUAUGUCUGGAGAAAGUAAGUAAUCAGUGUUGCAAAUCCUAUUGCUUUUGGCGCAAAACAGGAGUUAAAAACGGAUAAGGUCUUUAUAUGGGUUGUCCUACAACUGGAUCUGGUCAGACAUGGGUUUAUUUUUUAUUGUUCUGCAUAAAUAAUAUAUUCUGACACUGGUUCCCAAUAAAAUGAUACUUGUAUAGUCAAAUAUGCAUUUGCACAUAAAUUAUAUAGCUAUUUUUACAUGGUAUAUCUGUUGAGUAAAUCCAUGGGUUGUCAAUAUUAACUUCUAAAGCACUUGUCAAUUUUCUUUUGGCCGUACCAUGAAUCAUGAACAGGGUAUGAGAUGACAAUGACCCUAACUUGGAUUGUUACAACAUUAUUUGCGGUCUUGCAGGUACUUUUCUUGUCGAAUGUAGUGAGACUGCAUCUGUUCUUCAGAAUGCAACUGAGGAUUCUCUUGUCUUGCUUGAUGAACUUGGCAGAGGAACUAGCACAUUUGAUGGAUACGCGAUUGCAUAUGCAGUAAGUCUUCCUUCAAUCCAUUACAUAACCAUGCUUGCCAUACCCUUCAGUAUGCCUUUUUCAUGGUAGAUGCUGUCGCCGUGUCUUUUAAGGUCAUUGUCCGUAUCAGUAAGCUACAUAGCUUCAAGAACGAUCUUAUAUUAUGGGACGGAAGGAGUAGUUUUGCAUAUCAGCCAUUGAUAGGACAGUCAGAAAACCGAUCAAUUUCGUACGUUCAACAUGGCAUAUCAGCCAUUGCCGUGUGCUUUCUCAUUGUUUUCACAUCGUAUCCAUUUUCUGACAAACAAUUUCGUGCUUCUGAUGACUGUAUUUUGCCUCAGGUAUUCCGCCACCUGGUGGAACAGGUGCGAUGCCGUCUGCUCUUUGCCACCCACUACCACCCUCUCACCAAGGAGUUCGCCUCCCACCCCCACGUGAGCCUCCAGCACAUGGCCUGCAUGCUGAGGCCAAGGAGCGGCGGCAACGGCGAGAUGGAGCUCACCUUCCUCUAC
rnacentral:lncRNA from 1 species